UACGAAGGGGGCAAGCGUUAUUCGGAAUUAUUGGGCGUAAAGGGCGCGUAGGCGGUUUCUUAAGUCGGAUGUGCAAUCCCCGGGCUCAACCCGGGAACUGCAUCCGAGACUGGGAGGCUAGAGUACUGGAGAGGUUGGUGGAAUUCCUCGUGUAGCGGUGAAAUGCGUAGAGAUGAGGAGGAACACCAGUGGCGAAGGCGGCCAACUGGACAGUAACUGACGCUGAGGCGCGAAAGCGUGGGUAGCAAACAGG
rnacentral:rRNA from 1 species